rnacentral:lncRNA from 1 species
UAUAUAUUAGGGUUACUGUACUCUUAUGAGUAUAAACCCCUUUGUAGUCAUAAGUUUUCGGCCAUUGAAUGAAGAUAUGUGCGGUUAGGAUGAUAGUGGUCCUCGGUUAGGAUCAAUAAUAGUGGUCCUCUAAGGUUGGUUGAUAGUUUGAUCUAACGGGUGAAUAUGAUUAAAGAAGAGAUCUAACGGCCGAAACUUAUGAGAACAAAAAAGCUUAUACUCAUAAAAAUAUAGUAGCCGGACUCUCUCUCUCUCUCUCUCUCUAUAUAUAUAUAUAUGUAGAAUUUUCGUAAGAAUUGAUCUAGUAUACUUGAAGUAUUUAAAAAAUACAUUUUGAGAUUUUUUGAUAUAAUUUACCUAGUGAUCAAAAGGGUUCAAAAUCAAUAAUUUUUUAAUGGUUGAUGUUUACUGUUUGCAAGUUUAACGAUGUCGAAAUAUCUAAAUCAAAAAAAAUUUUGAUAGAAAAUUUUUGAUAUUAUCUACAGCAAUAUCAAUAUCUCUGAUCGAAAAUCUUAGUAUUAUAUCACCACUUUUUGUGAGAUUUUUAUUUUCAACCGUUAAUUUUGAACUUUUUUCAAUCGCUAGGUAAAUAAUAUCGAAAAAUUGCCAAAUUUAUUUUCUGAAUACUUCAAAUGCGUUAGAUCAAUUUUAA